rnacentral:tRNA from 1 species
GUGGUCGUAGCUCAAUGGCAGAGCGCGAGGUUGUGGACCUUGAGGUUGCGGGUUCGAUCCCCGUCGACCACC